GCUGGGCAUAGUGGCGUAUGCCUGUAGUCCCAGCUACUCGAGAAGCUGAGGCAGAGGAAUUGCUUGAACCUGGGAGUUGGAGGCUGCAGUGAGCCGAGAUUGUGCCACUGCACUCUAGCCCGGGUGACAGAGAGAGACUCCGUCUCAA
ensembl:misc_RNA Metazoa_SRP Metazoan signal recognition particle RNA